AUGGGGCCCAAGCGGUCUCGAGGGGUAGCGGCUCAGCAGGGACACGAGCGAGGUGCCGAAGGUCCAUCCGAUCAGAGGUCAAGCUAAAGGAGCCCGAGAUAACCAGUAUGAGGCAGUACAUCAGCACAAGCCUCCAUGUCUGGGUUGUCUUGCAGCGGCCGUCUGUCCACUUCACAGGGCGAUCUUGGGAGCAGCUGAAGAGAGAGGAGCCUUCUAGGUAUCCCGGAAGGUGACAGCCACAGUGUUGGACUCCGGUCAGGGCCUCGGUGAUGUUGACUCAGAGUAACCUCAUGACUGCAGGAACCACCUCACGAUGGGGCGACUGACUCAGAUUGCUCGUCUUGAGCUGUCCUUGUCUGCAAUCUCCGAGUUUUAAAAGGAUGAGCAGCGAGGCACAGAACUUUAGUGAUGGCAGGAGCCAUCCGGGUAACUUUUGGAAGCAUCCAGGC